GUGACAGUCUUGUUAACGUAUACCACAUAUGUAAUAACUUAGCUAACCCUAAAUACUGUACCUUUAGUUUAAAUUUAGUCCCUUGGAGCUUGACCUGGAAGCCCCAUCCUGUACCAGACUUUCAUGUAUAGUAGGCUCUUCUCAGCUGAGCUGUGCCCCCCUUUGACUCAGACACCAAACAGCAGUAUUCAGUGGAAGAAUCCAGAAAGAUAUUUCCGCUACUUACCACUUCAGCAAAUGGACGUCAAACCAAAGCGCCUGCACAUGCAUCCGCAGCAGAGAAGUGGAAGACCUGCAGGAAAGAAUUGUUGAUAGCUGCUUAAUCAAAGCAACACUGGGUUUUCUGGUAAAGAGCAGAAAUGAUGGUUCCGUCGUCUCAGCCCUGAAGCAGAGAAGCAGCCCCAGACUGUCACACCACCACCAC
ensembl:lncRNA